CCUACGGGGGGCAGCAGUGGGGAAUAUUGGGCAAUGGAGGAAACUCUGACCCAGCAACGCCGCGUGAAUGAUGAAGGUCUUCGGAUUGUAAAGUUCUUUUCUAAGGGAAGAAGAAAGUGACGGUACCUUAGGAAUAAGCCUCGGCUAACUACGUGCCAGCAGCCGCGGUAAUACGUAGGAGGCAAGCGUUAUCCGGAAUGACUGGGCGUAAAGGGAGCGUAGGCGGGAGAUUAAGUUAAGAGUGAAAGCCUUGGGCUCAACCCAAGAAAUGCUCUUAAUACUGGUUUUCUAGAGUGUGGGAGAGGUAAGUGGAAUUCCUAGUGUAGCGGUAGAAUGCGUAGAGAUUAGGAGGAACAUCAGAGGCGAAGGCGGCUUACUGGACCAUAACUGACGCUGAGGCUCGAAAGCGUGGGGAGCAAACAGGAUUAGAUACCCGUGUAGUC
rnacentral:rRNA from 1 species